CGAGGCAAGGAAAGACAAACCUUCAGCUGGUGCAGCGCUUCCCUCGCGGCGGUUACCAGGGAUUUGGAGACAUUCAGGCAGUCGUUCAGAUUGGGCCAGGAGGAAGGCAGCGGCGAGGUCGCUGCCAAGUCGGCCAGGCUGAGGCAGAGGAGAGUCGCCAGGAGCCAGCCACCUGAAACAAACAAACACGCGCCGCGCGUCAGCCCGGGAGCCAGCUGGGAACCGCGGAACGCGGCGGCACUUGCACCCUCCGCCCCCGACCCUUCCCACAGCCCGGCCCGGCGCGGAGCGCACGAGGCCUCGGCGUGCGGCGCCCCCCCACCCCCGGCUGGCGGGGUCCGUGCGCGGCGGGGCACUGGUCACUCACGGGGGCAGUCGGGGCCGGCGCGCUGCGCCAUGCGGGCUCGCUGAGGUUGUGAUGUGACAUGCAGACACAGCCUCAUGCACAAGGAGUUUAUCCUGCCAGCCUUGCAAGAGAAUUAGUGUGACAGGGUUGCAACACAUCAGUGAAUAAAGUGUUGGUCCAGCACAUACAGCCUUGAAGGCCUUCUUGUGUACACUUCUCGGUAACUGGCUCAGGAUGUUCUUCCGUACUACCUCUUAUGUCCACCUUGAACUCAUCAAGAAGGCCACUGCCAUCAUCUUCAAAUUCAUCCUCCAGAACCACUUCUGCAACAACUCCUAUCUUCUGCUUUCAAGUUAGGAGACCACAGUGUCCUCACAAGUGAAACAGGAAGAAGGAGAGUUGCAGAGAUACGUGACAGCAAGUGAGUAAAAGUUUCAAGAAGCCUGCACUAUAUUGCACUAAUAAAAAGGGCAAAAACAAAGGAGCAGCACACUUUUUCGAGUGAUCAGAACAUGAGACCAAUCUAAGGAUGUUUGUGGAGACGUAACUUCUUCCUCUACUUAUGUAAUCCCAGCCUCCUGUAUUAUCAGCUGCUGGACCAAAGACUGAGUGUCCUAACCCAGCUUCUUUCUUUACAUGUGCAAAGCACUAUAGACACUAAUUACUUCUUCCCCUCCUCUGUUAUUCUUGUGCAAUUCUGAUGGUUUUUCACAAGAAAACUCAACAUCAGUAAUAAAGUAAUGCUGCAAGAGCACCCUGUCAGUUCUAUCCUGAUUGCUAUUCUGCAUCCUCUUUAAGGGAACACUAAAGUGGUUCUACUGACUUGUGCAGGUGGAUGACUGGAGGGCAUAACAGACCUUUAGGCUGUGAACUUUAUUUUUAUUUAGCCAGUCGCCAAUAAAAAUGCAUGAGUAUGAAUUAAGACUUAGCAAAUGGGUCAAAAAUUGAUCUAAAAUCUGGUAUCCUGCCUCCAGCACUGUUCAGUGCCUGACGCUUCAGAGCAAGGCAAAAAUAACUCAUAGGGCACCUAGUCAGUUGUACAAUAAGGCACAUAGGAGAAAAUUUCCUUCCAGACCUACUGGCAGGUUAUACCUUGAAGUAUGAGAUUUAAUUAUGCUUAUCAUAAAAUAGACUGAAUAACUACAAAUUAUUAUUGGUCAUAAACUUAA